GUUUUACAGUGAGGAGAAAAAAGAAACAUAUUUUCUGUUAUAAAUAUUAUAUCUCUCAGAUUUGGAUAAAGACCAAACACGUAGCUAAAAGAGAGUGACUAUAGUAACUACUGCUCUAUGUCUAAAUCGGUAACUGAAAAAGCUGCAGGGUGCUUCCUGAAAUACAUUUUCUCAGCUGUGUUUGCAAUACUUGGAUUCAUAACCAUCGGUUCUCUCAGACCAUUACUUUAAGUAAAAUCUAAGAAUCAAUAAAUAACAUCUAAGUUGAAAUCAAACGGGAUUGUUACAAUUCAGUAAGGAGACAGCAGGAAAUAUAACACAACAGCUGGGUGAACAUUGAGAUCUGUCAGUAUCCAUGGUGACGGGUGAUUUCUCAUGCAAAGAUGAGUGAGUGGGGCUUUGUGUGCCACUUAGAAUAGUAAAGGGCCAUAAUGGUUACAUUUGGAUCAUUUAAAAGGUUGACUGGUUUGUAGGAUGGCCUACCACAACAGCAACCUGCCUGCAAUAAAUGCUGGACGUCUUGUUUCUUUUAAAUUGUGUAUGUUAUAUGUUGUGUUUUAAACAAACAGAGCUUGUCGCUGAUUGUUAUGCUUUGUCUUCGUUUUGUUGUUUAAAGCUAAAACACGAGUCAGUGUUAUUUGAAUGUAGAGUAUUUGCAUUUCUGUGUGAAGCUGCAGUUAAACAGGUGGUGAGGAGAUAUGUGACUAUGUGAGCUUAUGUUGUUUUUGUUUUUAUUCCAUUAACUGUGUUACCAUGUUGACUGUUAAUCCGAAAAUGGAAUAAUGUCGCUGUUUGCACCUUACUACUAAUUCCUGCUGAAUGUCACAUCAGUCAAAUACGACCGAUCCAGACUUUUGUUCUAAAUGAUUUGACUCUAUUUUGUGUGGAAACCAUAUGUUCUAAUGCAGAAAUAAAUCUUUACGACUGUGUAAAUGUCUUGACUAUAAAAAUGUAAUCUAAAUACCUGUGUUCAAGUGUCUGUUUAAAUCUAUAUUAUUUAUGUAUUUAUGUAAGAAAACUUUAUUUAGAAAAUUACAUUUUAGAAUUGCACAAGAAUUGACUCAGAAAUCAUUGGCCACAUGGUCCGUGGGGUGACCUAAAAUAUGAUUGGCCCAACACCAUUAAACAAGAGAAUGUCUGUUUCAC
ensembl:lncRNA